AUUCCGUGAUGAAGGCAUUUCCUUAAUAGUUCUUUGUAUCAUUCCCACGCCUCAUACAAGGAUUCAUCAUCCAUUUGUUGGAAGGCAGUGAUCUCGUUCCUCAAUUU
rfam:Gossypium hirsutum cultivar TM-1 chromosome 8, whole genome shotgun sequence